AGUGAACGCUGGCGGUAGGCCUAACACAUGCAAGUCGAACGGCAGCACAGUAAGAGCUUGCUCUUACGGGUGGCGAGUGGCGGACGGGUGAGGAAUACAUCGGAAUCUACUUUUUCGUGGGGGAUAACGUAGGGAAACUUACGCUAAUACCGCAUACGACCUACGGGUGAAAGCAGGGGAUCUUCGGACCUUGCGCGAUUGAACGAGCCGAUGUCGGAUUAGCUAGUUGGCGGGGUAAAGGCCCACCAAGGCGACGAUCCGUAGCUGGUCUGAGAGGAUGAUCAGCCACACUGGAACUGAGACACGGUCCAGACUCCUACGGGAGGCAGCAGUGGGGAAUAUUGGACAAUGGGCGCAAGCCUGAUCCAGCCAUACCGCGUGGGUGAAGAAGGCCUUCGGGUUGUAAAGCCCUUUUGUUGGGAAAGAAAAGCAGCAGGUUAAUACCCCGCUGUUCUGACGGUACCCAAAGUAUAAGCACCGGCUAACUUCGUG
rnacentral:rRNA from 1 species